rnacentral:rRNA from 1 species
UACGUAGGGGGCGAGCGUUGUCCGGAUUUAUUGGGCGUAAAGAGCUCGUAGGCGGUUUGGCAAGCCGGGUGUGAAAACUCCGGGCUCAACUCGGAGACGCCACUCGAUACUGCUAUGACUCGAGUCCGGUAGGGGAGUGCGGAAUUCCUGGUGUAGCGGUGAAAUGCGCAGAUAUCAGGAGGAACACCGGUGGCGAAGGCGGCACUCUGGGCCGGUACUGACGCUGAGGAGCGAAAGCGUGGGGAGCGAACAGG